GAUGAACGCUGGCGGCGUGCCUAAUACAUGCAAGUCGAGCGAAUGGAUUAAGAGCUUGCUCUUAUGAAGUUAGCGGCGGACGGGUGAGUAACACGUGGGUAACCUGCCCAUAAGACUGGGAUAACUCCGGGAAACCGGGGCUAAUACCGGAUAACAUUUUGAACCGCACGGUUCGAAAUUGAAAGGCGGCUUCGGCUGUCACUUAUGGAUGGACCCGCGUCGCAUUAGCUAGUUGGUGAGGUAACGGCUCACCAAGGCAACGAUGCGUAGCCGACCGGAGAGGGUGAUCGGCCACACUGGGACGGAGACACGGCCCAGACUCCUACGGGAGGCAGCAGUAGGGAAUCUUCCGCAAUGGACGAAAGUCUGACGGAGCAACGCCGCGUGAGUGAUGAAGGCUUUCGGGUCGUAAACUCUGUUGUUAGGGAAGAACAAGUGCUAGUUGAAUAAGCUGGCACCUUGACGGUACCUAACCAGAAAGCCACGGCUAACUACGUGCCAGCCGCCGCGGUAA
rnacentral:rRNA from 1 species